AGUCGAACGGGGCACCUUUGAAAGAGACUUCGGUCAAUGGAUGAGACUGCCUAGUGGCGGACGGGUGAGUAACGCGUGAGGAACCUGCCUUUCAGAGGGGGACAACAGUUGGAAACGACUGCUAAUACCGCAUGAUGCAUGACCAGGGCAUCCUGGACAUGCCAAAGAUUUAUCGCUGAAAGAUGGCCUCGCGUCUGAUUAGCUAGUUGGUGAGGUAACGGCCCACCAAGGCGACGAUCAGUAGCCGGACUGAGAGGUUGACCGGCCACAUUGGGACUGAGAUACGGCCCAGACUCCUACGGGAGGCAGCAGUGGGGAAUAUUGGGCAAUGGGCGCAAGCCUGACCCAGCAACGCCGCGUGAAGGAAGAAGGCUUUCGGGUUGUAAACUUCUUUUGUCAGGGAAGAGCAGAAGACUGUACCUGACGAAUAAGCUCCGGCUAACUACGUGCCAGCAGCCGCGGUAAUACGUAGGGAGCAAGCGUUGUCCGGAUUUACUGGGUGUAAAGGGCGUGUAGGCGGGAUUGCAAGUCAGAUGUGAAAUUCCGGGGCUCAACCCCGGAACUGCAUUUGAAACUGUAGUUCUUGAGUACUGGAGAGGCAGGCGGAAUUCCUAGUGUAGCGGUGAAAUGCGUAGAUAUUAGGAGGAACACCAGUGGCGAAGGCGGCCUGCUGGACAGCAACUGACGCUGA
rnacentral:rRNA from 1 species